rnacentral:rRNA from 1 species
AGGCUGCAACUCGCCUGCAUGAAGUUGGAGUUGCUAGUAAUCGCGGAUCAGAAUGCCGCGGUGAAUGCGUUCCCGGGUCUUGUACACACCGCCCGUCACACCACGGAAGUUGGGGGUGCCCAAAGUUGGCAGGAUAAUAUGUUACCUAAGGCAAAACCGAUGACUGGGGUGAAGUCGUAACAAGGUAGC